AUUGAACGCUGGCGGCAGGCUUAACACAUGCAAGUCGAACGAGUGGCGGACGGGUGAGUAAUGCUGGGGAAUCUACCUUAGGGAGGGGUAUAACUACGGGAAACUGUAGCUAAUAACGCGUACAAUAGGAGCAGCCCAGGAGGGAUUAGGUUGUUGGUGAGGUAAAGUCUCACCAAGCCGACGAUCUCUAGAUGGUCUGAGAGGAUGACCAGCCACACUGGGACUGAGACACGGCCCAGACUCCUACGGGAGGCAGCAGUGGGGAAUAUUGCGCAAUGGGGGCAACCUGACGCAGCCAUGCCGCGUGAAUUAAGAAGGCCUUCGGGUUGUAAAGUUCUUUCGGUCGCGAGGCGUUAACUACAGAAGAAGCACCGGCUAACUCCGUGCCAGCAGCCGCGGUAAUUC
rnacentral:rRNA from 1 species